UAAAGUGGCGAACGGCUGAGUAACACGUGGGCAACCUGCCCUUUGCACUGGGAUAGCCUCGGGAAACCGAGGUUAAUACCGGAUACUCCAUAUUUGUCGCAUGGCGAAUAUGGGAAAGCUCCGGCGGCAAAGGAUGGGCCCGCGGCCUGUUAGCUAGUUGGUGGGGUAGUGGCCUACCAAGGCAAUGAUGGGUAGCCGGGUUGAGAGACCGACUGGCCAGAUUGGGACUGAGACACGGCCCAGACUCCUACGGGAGGCAGCAGAA
rnacentral:rRNA from 1 species